rnacentral:lncRNA from 1 species
ACAAUUGCCGUAGCUCACACCAUAGAAGACCAAAGCUUUGUUUUGUCUUCCUUCCACCAAAGCCAAGCCAAAACCUUACCAAAACAACUUCUUCCUUUAACCAAAAUUCAUCCUAAGAUUAAGAGCUAAAGGAACAGCCAUAUAGUGAAAUACUUGAAGAAGAAAAGUUUAGGGUUCCAUAUGCACCAAGCUUGAAAAUCAAAGGUGAGCUUAGAAAUGAGUAGGAAAUAGCAUCAUCUCAUUUCUUCAUGCAUGAAUUUGAAUUAUAAAGCUUUAAUUUACAAUUUAUUCAAUCCUUCCCUAAGAUAUAAAUUGGCAUAGGUGAAGGAACAUCAAAGGGAAAGGAGAUAGCUAGAGAUUAGAAGAGGAAAAGAAAAGAAGAAUUCAAGAAAGGUUUGGUGUUUUAAUGAUUUUCUGUUUUCCUUUGAUUCUGCCAUGAAUAAGUGAAAUUAGAGGUUGAUUUUACUUGCUGAAAAUGUUGUUUUGAUUGUAAAAAUAUGUUAUAUGAAUGUUAAAAUGAUGUUUGAAAGGCUUAGAGUAAAGAAAGUUAACAUGGGAGCUAAAAGUGUAAAUCUGGCAGAAUAGGUUGUAACAGGACAGCUUGUGUUACUAACUUCAUAACUUCUUGUGUAUAUAUUGAAAUUAGGCCUAAGAUAUACCAAAUGAAAGCUAAGACAAAUAUCUAAAAUUUUCAUGAAUUGACAAAAUUCUGAAUCUAUAGUUAAAAUGAUGAAAAUUGCAAGUGAACCUAAAAUAGACACAGUGGUAGUGCAUCCGGAACAGAGUCUAUUGAUUAUACCAUAACUAAUUACAUACUCAGUGAAAUUUGUUAAGACCAGUGCCAAAUGAAUCUUAAGAAGUAUACCUAAAACUUUGUAGAAGACAUUUGAGCUUGAAUUUGUAUGGAAAUGUAUUAGAGGUUACAUAUCUGGUACCUCAUAAGCAUGGCCACAGAGCCCUGCUAUCACAGUUUUGGCCUCUGAGCCUACCGUUCGGCACCCUGUGCCUACCGUUAUAACUCUUUAUCUACCUAGUCGAUCCUACUAUGUGGUUAUAAGGGCUAAGAUCUUAAUUAAGAUUGAUACUUGAUUUUGUGAACUUAUUGGUGAAUGUUAACAUGUUUACAUCUACUAGCUUGUAAUUGUUUACUUGAUUAUCUAUUUAUACGAGCUUGUUUGUGUUAUUCUGUUAUUUGUUGUUAUCACCCACUGAGCAUUAGCUCAGCGUGUUGGUUUUUACCUCACGCAGGUUGUAGAUAGAGUAGGCACGCGAAGUUCAUUAGAGGUCUACAUCAGAUAUCAAGGCCAUUAUCAUAGCUGGUUGUUUUGAGUCUCUGAGGCAUAGUAUAGUUUUAUUUUGGCAUGUACAUAUUAAAUAGAGUGAGUUAUGAAGGUCAUGUAAAUCAAAGAAUAGUAAGAUGUCAAAUAACAGUUGAUAAUGUUGCAUGUGUUUUUCAUAUAUGCUACAGGGUAAAAUGUGGAUGAAAAAGAGGAGACUCU